UACAGAGACUGCGAGCGUUAUUCGGAUUCACUGGGCGUAAAGGGUGCGCAGGCGGCCAAGUGUGUGAGGCGUGAAAGCCCGGGGCUUAACCCCGGAAUUGCACCUCAAACUACAUGGCUAGAGCAUUGGAGAGGGUAGCAGAAUUCACGGUGUAGCAGUGAAAUGCGUAGAUAUCGUGAGGAAUACCAGAGGCGAAGGCGGCUACCUGGACAAUUGCUGACGCUCAGGCACGAAAGCGUGGGGAGCAAAAGGG
rnacentral:rRNA from 1 species